GACGAACGCUGGCGGCGUGCUUAACACAUGCAAGUCGAACGGAAAGGCCUGCUUUCCCUUGUGGAUUGCGGGUACUCGAGUGGCGAACGGGUGAGUAACACGUGAGUGAUCUGCCCCCAACUUGGGUAUAAGCCUGGGAAACUGGGUCUAAUUCCCGAUAGGACUGCAGGGUGGUGCCGGUGGUGGAAAACGAUUUUCUAGUGGUUGGGGAUGAGCUCGCGGCCUAUCAGCUUGUUGGUGGGGGAAUGGCCUACCAAGGCGGCGACGGGUAGCCGGCCUGAGAGGGUGGACGGCCACAUUGGGACUGGGAUACGGCCCAGACUCCUACGGGAGGCAGCAGUGGGGAAUAUUGCACAAUGGGCGGAAGCCUGAUGCAGCGACGCCGCGUGGGGGAUGACGGCCUUCGGGUUGUAAACUCCUUUCGACCGCGAGGAAGCCACCUGGUUGGAAGGGUGGUGACGGUAGUGGUAGAAGAAGCACCGGCUAACUACGUG
rnacentral:rRNA from 1 species